UACGUAGGGGGCAAGCGUUGUCCGGAUUUAUUGGGCGUAAAGAGCGUGUAGGCGGUCAGGUAGGUCCGUUGUGAAAACUCGAGGCUCAACCUCGAGACGCCGAUGGAAACCAUCUGACUAGAGUCCGGAAGAGGAGAGUGGAAUUCCUGGUGUAGCGGUGGAAUGCGCAGAUAUCAGGAGGAACACCGAUGGCGAAGGCAGAUCUCUGGGCGCUACUGACGCUGAGGAGCGAAAGCGUGGGGAGCGAACAGG
rnacentral:rRNA from 1 species